UACAGAGGGUGCGAGCGUUAAUCGGAAUUACUGGGCGUAAAGAGCUCGUAGGUGGUUUGUCGCGUUGUUCGUGAAAUCUCACGGCUUAACUGUGAGCGUGCGGGCGAUACGGGCAGGCUAGAGUGUGGUAGGGGGAGAUCGGAAUUCCUGGUGUAGCGGUGAAAAUACGCAGAUAUCAGGAGGAACACCAAUGGCGAAAGGCAGCUCGCUGGAACGGUACUGACGCUGAGGCGCGAAAAGCGUGGGGGAGCGAAACAGG
rnacentral:rRNA from 1 species